GUAGGGAAUAUUGGGCAAUGGAGGCAACUCUGACCCAGCCAUGCCGCGUGCAGGAUGACGGCCCUCUGGGUUGUAAACUGCUUUUAUACGGGAAGAAAAAAUACUACGUGUAGUAUACUGACGGUACCGUAAGAAUAAGGAUCGGCUAACUCCGUGCCAGCAGCCGCGGUAAUACGGAGGAUCCAAGCGGUGUCCGGAUUUAUUGGGUUUAAAGGGUGCGUAGGCGGAUCUUUAAGUCAGUGGUGAAAGCCUGCAGCUUAACUGUAGAAUUGCCAUUGAAACUGAAGAUCUUGAAUGUGGUUAAAGUAGGCGGAAUGUAUCAUGUAGCGGUGAAAUGCUUAGAUAUGAUACAGAACACCGAUAGCGAAGGCAGCUUGCUGAACCAUUAUUGACGCUGAGGCACGAAAGCGUGGGGAGCGAACAGGAUUAGAUACCCGGGUAGUCC
rnacentral:rRNA from 1 species